rnacentral:misc_RNA from 1 species
UCCGGUUUGGCACCGGCAGUCCCCCGAGAGUCCUCAGCGCCUUGCGGCCUGUUAGCAACACGGGGCGGGGGUUGCGCUCGUUGCGGGACUUAACCCAACAUCUCACGACACGAGCUGACGACAGCCAUGCAGCAUCUGUGGUGCACCCUCGAAGGUCACACGUUUCCGUGCGCUUGCGGCACCACCUGUGCACUGGCCCCGAAGGGCUGCCGUAUUUCUACGGCAUUCCAGUGCAUGUCAAGCCCUGGUAAGGUUCUUCGCGUAGCGUCGAAUUAAACCACAUGCUCCGCUGCUUGUGCGGGUCCCCGUCAAUUCCUUUGAGUUUUAGCCUUGCGGCCGUACUCCCCAGGCGGGGCACUUAAUGCGUUAGCUCCGGCACGGGAGGAGUCGACACCUCCCA